rnacentral:rRNA from 1 species
UAAGUGGGUUUGAUUGUGGUGAAAACUCCACAGUUAAGCGCGCUUGAGCCAGAGGCGUCUUGGGAUGGGUGACCACCUGGGAAGUCCUGGUUACCGGGUGCA